rnacentral:rRNA from 1 species
AUGGAGACAGUGCAGCGCAUCCUCUCGGUCGGGGCCAACAUUGUUGAAGCCACACAUCUGGAUAAUGACAUGUCCCGCCUCAGGACCAGCUUGCCCAGGGCCUGGGUCCUCAUCGAUCGUGCUGAGUGGGGCAGGUUCAAGAAGAAGGAGCUGGCUGUGCUACUGUCGCAGCUUAAGGAUACUGUUCACGUUCUGAGGAGCUUUUCCGCAAGUUCGAUGACCAGUGGUAGCAAAACAAGGGUAAAGGAGGCACAUAGCAGGCUCGACAAAGUUGUCGCUGAUAUAGAUGGGAUGAUCAAUUUGUUGGGUCUUAAUAUUGAGCCUCUGCAACUUGGCAAGCCGUUUAUGCCAGAGACAAGUUCACUGAUCAGCGAGCCUGUGGUGUUUGGACGGGACAAAGAAUGGGACCAGAUACCCUCCACCGCCGGCCUCCUUCCACCUCCUCUCCUCUCCCAAUCCAUGAGUGUGUGCAGCCCCGAGCGCUGCAACCGGCUAGGCAGGCCUCCGCACGACCGCCGCCACCGCCAUCGCCACCGCCACCCCUCGCCCCUCCCCUCACCAGAAGACGACGAUAAGAGAAUAGGUCAGGCGGCGGCUCUUAGUCCCAGAUCCGCCAAGGGCUUGGACCUAGAACUCCAUGGCCGAGGGCUAGGACCCGGAGCUCCACCUCCAUGGCGUUGGCUGCAUCUCCCAAAUCGCGAGCUCGCGCGCCUGGACAGGACCUCCAUCCGUCCAUCUGCUUCCGCUCCGCUCGGCUGA